rnacentral:rRNA from 1 species
UACGUAGGGGGCAAGCGUUGUCCGGAAUCAUUGGGCGUAAAGCGCGUGUAGGCGGUUUGGUAAGUCGGGUGUGAAAUCUCCACGCUCAACGUGGAGGGCCACUCGAUACUGCCAUGACUCGAGUCCGGUAGAGGAGUGUGGAAUUCCCGGUGUAGCGGUGAAAUGCGCAGAUAUCGGGAGGAACACCCGUAGCGAAGGCGGGGUUGCUGGGCCCGACACUGACGCUGAGGCGCGAAAGCUAGGGGAGCGAACGGG